GAUCUCCCACCCUGGCUUCCCAAGAGCUGGGGGACUACAGGCACAUAGUACUAUGCCCAGCUUGAAGUUCUUUACAUUUUCUUUCUUCCCAUGUCUAUUACUGUAGUUAUAGAGGAUCUCUAGUGGAGUAUUCUGAGACCCUAGGACAUGGCAUAGCUACUAGAUGGAUGGCACCUGGAUCCCUAAAUACUGCUUGGAACAGAGCUCCCUGUUACCCCCAGAAUUGACUGUAGUGCUAAGCCAUUGAGUUUUGGGAGUGUU
rnacentral:lncRNA from 1 species